rnacentral:rRNA from 1 species
CGACAGCAAUAUGUAGGUCAAGCUAAAGACUUUACCAGAAUCGCUGAGAGGAGGUGCAUGGCCGUCGUCAGUUCGUACUGUGAAGCAUCCUGUUAAGUCAGGCAACGAGCGAGACCCGUGCCCACUGUUGCCAGCAUGUCCUUCGGGAUGAUGGGUACUCUGUGGGACCGCCGAUGCUAAAUCGGAGGAAGGUGCGGGCUACGGUAGGUCAGUAUGCCCCGAAUCUCCCGGGCUACACGCGGGCUACAAUGACUGGGACAAUGGGCUCCUACCCGAAAGGGGAUGGUAAUCUCAUAAACCCAGCCUUAGUUCGGAUCGAGGGCUGUAACCCGCCCUCGUGAAGCUGGAAUCCGUAGUAAUCGCGUUUCAACAUAGCGCGGUGAAUACGUCCCUGCUCCUU